rnacentral:rRNA from 1 species
GAUGAACGCUGGCGGCCUGCCUAAUACAUGCAAGUCGAGCGAAGCGGGGACGGGUGAGUAACACGUGGAUAACCUCCUAUAAGACUGGGAUAACUUCGGGAACCCGGAUCUAAAACGGAUCCUCAUAGAUGGUCCCGCGCUGCAUUAGCUAGUUGGUAAGCUAACGGCUUACCAAGGCAACGAUGCAUAUCCGACCUGAGAGGGUGAUCGGCCACACUGGAACUGAGACACGGUCCAGACUCCUACGGGAGGCAGCAGUAGGGAAUCUUCCGCAAUGGGCGAAAGCCUGACGGAGCAACGCCGCGUGAGUGAUGAAGGUCUUCGGAUCGUAAAACUCUGUUAUUAGGGAAGCGGUACCUAAUCAGAAAGCCACGGCUAACUACGUGCCAGCAGCCGCGGUAAUUC